rnacentral:rRNA from 1 species
AUCGCCCAUAUACGACCGUACCGCAAACCGACACUGGUGCGCGAGAUGAGUAUUCUAAGGCGCUUGAGAGAACUCAGGAUAAGGAACUCGGCAAAUUGACACCGUAACUUCGGAAGAAGGUGUGCCCUAUUAGUGUGUAGUGAACAACGAAGCAUGAAUGGGUUGCAAAAAAUCGGUGGCUGCGACUGUUUAUUAAAAACACAGCACUCUGCAAACACGAAAGUGGACGUAUAGGGUGUGACGCCUGCCCGGUGCUGGAAGAUUAAAUGAUGGGGUGCAAGCUCUUGAUUGAAGUCCCAGUAAACGGCGGCCGUAACUAUAACGGUCCUAAGGUAGCGAAAUUCCUUGUCGGGUAAGUUCCGACCUGCACGAAUGGCGUAACGAUGGCCACACUGUCUCCUCCUGAGACUCAGCGAAGUUGAAAUGUUUGUGAUGAUGCAAUCUCCCCGCGGAAAGACGGAAAGACCCCAUGAACCUUUACUGUAGCUUUGUAUUGGACUUUGAACAGAUCUGUGUAGGAUAGGUGGGAGGCUUUGAAGCAGGGUCGCUAGAUCUUGUGGAGCCAACGUUGAAAUACCACCCUGGUGUGUUUGAGGUUCUAACCUAGGUCCAUUAUCUGGAUCGGGGACAGUGCAUGGUAGGCAGUUUGACUGGGGCGGUCUCCUCCCAAAGCGUAACGGAGGAGUUCGAAGGUACGCUAGUUACGGUCGGACAUCGUGACGAUAGUGCAAUGGCAUAAGCGUGCUUAACUGCGAGACUGACAAGUCGAGCAGAUGCGAAAGCAGGACAUAGUGAUCCGGUGGUUCUGUAUGGAAGGGCCAUCGCUCAACGGAUAAAAGGUACUCUGGGGAUAACAGGCUGAUACCGCCCAAGAGUUCAUAUCGACGGCGGUGUUUGGCACCUCGAUGUCGGCUCAUCUCAUCCUGGGGCUGUAGCCGGUCCCAAGGGUAUGGCUGUUCGCCAUUUAAAGAGGUACGUGAGCUGGGUUUAAAACGUCGUGAGACAGUUUGGUCCCUAUCUUCCGUGGGCGCUGCAGAUUUGAGGAAGCCUGCUCCUAGUACGAGAGGACCGGAGUGGACACACCUCUGGUGUAUCGGUUGUCACGCCAGUGGCAUUGCCGAGUAGCUAAGUGUGGAAGAGAUAACCGCUGAAAGCAUCUAAGCGGGAAACUCGUUUCAAGAUGAGAUCUGCCGGGGCCUUGAGCCCCCUAAAGAGUCGUUCAAGACCAGGACGUUGAUAGGUCAGGUGUGGAAGC